rnacentral:rRNA from 1 species
AACCUCCGCAAUGUGAGAAAUCGCGACGGGGGGAUCCCAAGUGCCAUUCUUAACGGGAUGGCUUUUCAUUAGUGUAAAGAGCUUUUGGAAUAAGAGCUGGGCAAGACCGGUGCCAGCCGCCGCGGUAACACCGGCAGCUCUAGUGGUAACAAUUUUUAUUGGGCCUAAAGCGUCCGUAGCCGGUUUAAUAAGUCUCUGGUGAAAUCCUGUAGCUUAACUGUGGGAAUUGCUGGAGAUACUAUUAGACUUGAGACCGGGAGAGGUUAGAGGUACUCCCAGGGUAGAGGUGAAAUUCUGUAAUCCUGGGAGGACCGCCUGUUGCGAAGGCGUCUAACUGGAACGGUUCUGACGGUGAGGGACGAAAGUUAGGGGCGCGAACCGGAUUAGAUACCCGGGUAGUCCUAACUGUAAACGAUGCGGACUUGGUGUUGGGGUGGCUUUGAGCUGCUCAGUGCGAAGGAGCUGUUAAGUCCGCCGCCUGGGAAGUACGGUCGCAAGACUAAAACUUAAAGGAAGU